AUCGAACGCUGGCGGCAGGCCUAACACAUGCAAGUCGAGCGGAGCGGCGGUGGGGUAAGUAAGGCCUAGGCAUCAGCCUCGUGGCGGUGGAAAACGUCCGGAAACGGGCGCUGAUACCGCAUACUAUCCCAUGAGUCAAGGUCGGAGUAGCUAGUGGGGGGGGUAGAGGCCUACCCAGGCGACGAUCCGUAACGGGUCUGAGAGGAGGAUCAGUCACACUGGAACUGAGACACGGUCCAGACUCCUACGGGAGGCAGCAGUGGGGAAUAUUGGACAAUGGGCGAAAGCCUGAUGCAGCCAUGCCGCGUGUGUGAAGAAGGUCUUCGGAUUGUAAAGCUCUUUAAGUUGGGAGGCGUUACCAACAAAAUAAGCACCGGCUAACUUCGUGCCAGCAGCCGCGGUAAUAC
rnacentral:rRNA from 1 species